AACCAGACACGCAGGCUCUCCAGGAGCCUGGGGAGAGAGGCGAGAAGAAAGGGGGCAGUGUGGUCUAGGAAAAUUCAACUUGUCGCUGAUUUGUGCCUGAUGCUUGCUGUCCGUCAGCAGCCUCCCUUACAUUCUUUUUUUCUCUCCCUUUUUUUCUUGCCUUCUCCUUCUUCACUGAAGCCUAGGGGAGCCAGUAAAGAUUAAAUGUGCUUUCUCAAAGGCAGCCACUUCAUGCUGCUAUAUCAAAAGGGCCAUUAUUAUUUUUAUUUUUAAUAGUAAAAGAAAACGGGGGAGAGGUAGGCUGGGGUCGGGGAGAGACAGACUAGGUAGGAUGGUGACGGACUAGCCUUCCUGAGAGGAAAAGGAAAAGGGAAGGGAAAGAAAAAGGAGAGACCCUGAACUGAGCUGAGGAUUGUGCCUGAGAAGAAUCCGCCGAGGAGCCAGCGGUCUUCACGUAGAAAAGCUCAGAGUCCAGGCGGAUGGGGGAAGCGACCAUCAGGUACUUUACCCGUUGCUGCCUGCGAAGAUGGAGGGGAACUAUGCUUCAGAUUUCCCCGAAAUAUUGGCAAAAUGCUGCCCAGGCCCGGUGGCGGGCGAGGCGGGGAGUGCGGUCUCUGCGUGCCCCCACCCUCCCAGCUUCGCGUCUGCGGAAUGACAGCCCGGGGCUGGCUCCGUCCAGGACUUGGCCUUGGCCUCCGCGGAGCAGCUGAUGCCCGGGAGGCCCGAGUGCAGGACUGGCCAAGUGCACUCGAAAGAAGAGGACGAAUAUUUUUUAAAGCAUCUCUGGGAGGUUUUUCAUUCUUUAGUUAAAAUAAAAAUAAUGACUGCAUAUUCUCCAUAUCUGAUCAGUCCCAGUCCUUCCUUCCACUCCCACUACAACUGCCCUUUUUCUUCCCUCUCUGGUCGAAGCCUAAGGGCAGCGUCGCGCUCCCCAGAUUCUGCGGGCCGCUGCGGCCCCCGCCCCCGCCCUCGCCCUCGCCCGCCCGCGCUCGCGCCCGCGCCCCGCUGCAACGCCGCGCCCAAGCUAGUGCCCAGAGCUCGCGCUCCCGGCUCGGACGGUGCGACCGAGGCGGCAGCACGCUCCUCUUCCAGCCGGCUGGUCCUUUAGCCUCCCCCAGGAAUGUCUCCCCAGUGAAAGGGCAGAGACUGAGGUAAGAGCUGCGCCAGUGGAUGCUCCAGCCAGCGGUGAAGGUCAAACACAGUCAUCACCUGAAGACCCCUCUCCUGCUCAGCAACACAUCCAGAUGCAGUUCCGGCCCCUAGAACUCUCACAACAAUGUUUUUUUUUUUUCCAAGAAACAGAGAAACUUAAUAAUGUCAUCUAGACUUUUAAUGAGCCAAAGACUCUUCCUUCCUCAUUUUUUGUUCCUCUGCUUGCAUUUAAAUUUAGUGUGAUAUCAUUUAAGAAAAAUCUUCCUAAUAUAAAUAUGCUUAUUAAUCAUCAAUUUUUAAAAUGGAAAAUUGCACAAAUGUGUUAAUGUUUUAAGGAUCAAAAUUAAUGCUGUUAGUAAAUUAAUUUUUAGCCCCAGAAUUUGAUCUUAAGAGUGACCUAAGGACUAUAUAACACUCUUGAAAUAAAGCAGUCAGAGGCAAUCCGAAAGAUGAAGUACUGGUGGAAAAUUAUAGAGCAGUGUAAAGAUAUCACAUUAUACCAUGUGACACCAACCCAUCAACCAUUCUUUUAAUAGGCAAGCUAGAUUCUGUGAGAUACCGUCACUGCCUCUAAAGAGUUUAAAUCUAGACAGAUGAGGCACAUAAACUUUUGAAAAGGUAAGUAACAAAUUGGGUCAAUAGAUGAAAAGACCAAAACCAAAACAAAAUAAAUUAUUUGAACAAGGAACUCAGAAGAGGUCAGCAUAAGCUGGAUAAUACCAGUCUGUUUAGGGAAGAGAGUUUCCCUAAGGAGGAAAUUAUAAGCUUAAUCUUAAAGGAUGUUUAAAAAUUAGAUAAAUGGAAAGAAAGGAGAAAACGGAGCCUUUUAUUUUUUUAGAGAUUUUAUUUAUUUUUAGAGAGAGAGGAAGGGAGGAAGAGAGUGAGGGAGAGAAACAUUACUGUGUGGUUGUGUCUCAUGUGCCCUCCACUGGGGACCUGGCCUGCAACCUAGGCAUGUACCCUAACUGGAAAUCGAACAAGUGACCUUUUAGUUAGGCCAGCACUCAGUCCACUGAGCCACACCAGUCAGGGCUGGAGUCUUUUAGAUAGAGGUGUUAUUAUGUGGGCAAAGCCAUGGAGAGAGUAAUCUACAGGGUAAGUUUAGGGGAUUCUGAAUAUACACAUCUAGCUGACUUCCCUCCAGACACUUAAUGCCAAUGUGUAUGUACAUAUAUGGUAAAGAUUCCCCAUGUACACAUCCCUCUGUCACACCAGGUGUGGUCUGGAAUCAUAAUUUUAUUUCCUUGCCAUUAAAGCAAGUGAGAAAGACUGGAAAUAAUAUAUGAACUUGUAAUUUUUCUGUUAAAUAAAUAGUAGUUGGUAUUUACUGAAUCAUACUAUAUGUUGAACAUUUUAUAUAUUAACUCAAACCUCACAACAAUCCUGCAAAACAAGUAUUAUAUCCAUUUUAUAGAUGAGAAAACUGAGGUUUAAUGAGAUUAAGAACUUGCCCAACUGCCAUAUACAGAGACACAUUCAGAACUGCGAUUGCAAAGCUCAUGAUCUAAGGCAACAUUUUUCAACCCAUGUGCCACAGGAGUUUUUCAAACAUGCAACACCUGUCUUGUUUAGUUAGGGGCACUGACCUCUUCUCCCUUAGAUGGUCAAAUAAAAAGAAAUGACAGCAGCCAACACAAUAGCCAUCUGAUGUGAAUGAAUCAAAAUUAUACCUUUUUUUGUCAGAUUAGCAAAAAAUUUAUUUUUUGGAGUGCUGCAGAAUUUUAGUAAUUAGUUUAUAUGUGCCAUGAGAUGGAAAAGGUUAAAAAUUGCUGAUCUAAGGCAUCAAGUUGCAAUAUUGCAAUCAUUAUAGUACCACUUCUGUAUUGCCUGAUGUUUUUUUGUGGUAAACAAAGAGCUCUUUCAUUUAAUUAUCUCCUCAAAUUUCUCAGAUUUCUGGUUAAAUUACCUUAGAAUGAUAGAAUGUAUUUUCCUCGUAGAAAAUGGGAAAUAUCAAGGAAUAGAGAUUAUCAGCAUUUUAGGCUUUUUUUUGACAGACUUUGAUGACAUUCUUCAAUUUGGUCUUCAUGAAGUCUCAAAUUCUUGAAAAGUAAACAAUGGGAUGAGGGAGCUUAGGGGUUAUCUAAUGCAAUGACUUCUUCUAGAGAUGAGAUAAAUUCAUGAAGUUAGGGUGACUUAUGGAGAGUACACAUCUGAGUGUGGCUGAGUUAGUUCCAGAGACCAGAUCUUUUGGUCUAACCUCAGAGGCUCUUGAACUACUUCACCUUGCCUAAAUAAACCAUGAUCUUGAAUUUGAUCAGUCAAAACAUUUUAUCUGGGUGAUCUGCGAGUGUUGUACCUAGUAGAUUGCUUUAAUUUUGUGUCUCUUUGGCUUGCUGUGUUAAUGUGAAAAAUAGCUGGCUGUGAAAUAAUAUCUGUAGAUCCAGAAAUUUUCGUGGCCCAUCUCCCCAAAACACACAAUGGCCCAAGAUGUUUUGUACCAUGUCUUCAAUGAUAUUCUUAAUUUGUUUGGAAUUCUUAGUUCAACUAAACAAAUAAGAUCUCCUGAGUAUUUUCUUAACCCAUUUUUGUGCACAAUAUGUGUUUAUAAGUGCUUAUGCAUGAAUAUUUGUACAUGACUAUUUUAAUCAUUCUUAUAUUUUUGAAAAUAUCAAUGGUUAUUUGUUGUUUAAUCACUUAUCCAUGGAUCAACUCAAGAAUACUUCAACCAUAGAAAGCUAGAGCUGAGGAAACCUCACUCUUCUUUACCAGCCCCUUUACAUUUAGUUGGUAUGUAGUGAAGACUGAUAACAUGGUCAGCUGGAGAACACAGAGAUUCAAAACACACUUCUGUCCUGAAGGAGUCCGUGAAGCUGGGUUUCCUUCAGAACAAACAACUGGACACCUGGAUGUGCCUGAUACUGAGUGUUACCCAUUUCCACUUAGACUUCUGGCACUGUCAGACUUGGGUCUCCUCAUGGCCUGGUUGUCAGGGUUCAGCGUGAUCAUUGGCCAUAUCUCACACAGUUCUGAUUAAGUGAGUUCAUAAAGCAGGGUUUUUUUUUAAAUCCAAGCACAAAAUGUGACUUUGUUGACAUUUUAUGAAACUUUGUUGUAUGUCCUCUGA